rnacentral:rRNA from 1 species
CAGAGGGUGCGAGCGUUAAUCGGAAUUACUGGGCGUAAAGGGCGCGUAGGCGGUUAUAUAAGUGAGAUGUGAAAUCCCUGGGCUUAACCUAGGAACUGCAUCUUAGACUGUAUGACUGGAGUGCAGUAGAGGGUAGUGGAAUUUCCGGUGUAGCGGUGAAAUGCGUAGAUAUCGGAAGGAACACCAGAGGCGAAGGCGGCUACCUGGACUGACACUGACGCUGAGGCGCGAGAGCGUGGGGAGCAAACAGGAUUAGAUACCCUGGUAGUCCACGCUGUAAACGAUGAGAACUAGAUGUUGGUAGGCUUGACCUAUUAGUAUCGCAGCUAACGCAAUAAGUUCUCCGCCUGGGGAGUACGACCGCAAGGUUA